CAACCUAUCAGCCUUUGCGGGCUUGGUUAGGCUUGGAUAUUGGAGGACUAUCGUCGGCUUGUUUCAACGAGUCGGCCCCUCUCAAAUGCAUUAGCUUAGUCCCUUGCGGAUCGGCUCCCAGUGUGAUAGUUUAUCUACGCUGCGACCGUGAAGCGUCCUAUGGCGAGCUUCUAA
rnacentral:misc_RNA from 1 species